GCAAGUCGAACGGUAACAUUUCUAGCUUGCUAGAAGAUGACGAGUGGCGGACGGGUGAGUAAUACUUAGGAAUAUGCCUUUGUGUGGGGGAUAACCAUUGGAAACGAUGGCUAAUACCGCAUAACGUCUUCGGACCAAAGGGGGCCUUGGCUGCCGCGGAAAGAGGAGCCUAAGCGAGAUUAGCUUGUUGGUGAGGUAAAGGCUCACCAAGGCGACGAUGUCUAGCUGUUCUGAGAGGAAGAUC
rnacentral:rRNA from 1 species